GCCUCGAAGUCCAUAGAGUGCGGAGGAUCCUUUUUGGCUUCUGAUAACGUGAAGAUGUUGGAGAAUUUUAUGAAGGAGGUUUAGGGACCUAGGGACCUUGGGGAGACCUGGGUUUAGAACAAAUGGGCCUAGAACCAGACUCCUCUGUGGCCCCGGCGCUCGCAGCACCACUGUGCUCAGUUGGUGGAUAGAAACCUACGUCUUGCACAGCCUUCCUGAUCUGAACCUUGGGUUCUCUCUUCCCAUCACCUAUGUGGCCAGUCACGCGUGGGGCCUUGGUGCUCGCUUGUAGAACACGCAUGUGCUGAUCGCUGUUGCACCAGGAGUCUCUGGUUUGGAGCCCUCAGAAAAGCCAUAGGAAGGUAGCCCCUCUGGACACAGAGCUUCCUUGGCUAUUGUCUCAGCUCAGAGUCUCCCCGUUCCCCACCCUCAUCCCCUGCCAGGCUUAUGGUCCCAUAAAGGACAACGAGCUUCCCUUGCAGCUCAGUCGAUAAAGAAUCUGCCUGCAGUGCAGGAAACCCGGGUUCGAUCCCUGGGUCGGGAAGAUCCCCUGGAGAAGGAAAUGGCAACCCACUCCAGUAUCCUUGCCUGGAAAAUCUCAUGGACAGAGGAGCCUGGUGGGCUGCAGUUCAUGGAGUCGCAAAGAGUCGGGCACGACUGACUGACUAACACUUAAAGGACAAUGAACUCUCAGGGUUGUGCAAUCCAAAAGUCUGAUGCUGAAUCCACCAACUCUAAAAUUCAGCUGGAUUUCUUUUAUUCACUUGCUGAACUUUUUCCAGCAUCCCAAGCAUAAAAUUGGAGCAUAAAAUCGAUAUGAGGUUUUUAUUUAUUGCUUCGUGCAAUUCAGUGAAGACGCUAAAGAAAUGGCUUCUUGGUAACGCUGCUGCCAGCCACAUCUUGAGGUUUUGGUGGCUGAUAUAAGCAUGUCUUUAUGGGACAUGUUGCCUUCUGUCCCCAUAUCUUCCCCGUGAACGUCAAAGGUCCCUAUGAGAUGGUAUCCGAGUGUACCCUGGAUUUUUACAUGCCUGCACAGACCUGCCCAGUAACAUCAUCUGUUACUGUGUACUCCAUGGAAAUCGUGACUGGAUAAAGGUUAAUGCUGUCCCAUAUCCAAGCCUUUUCAGUCUCUAAAGCCUCUCCUAGCUCUCAAACUACAUGACAAUGGUGAUGAGAAUUACGGUGAUAAGACAUCAAAAAAUGCUAACUAUGCACUGAACUCUUCCCAUCUAUUAACCAACAUGAGCUUCCUAAGAGCCAUUUAAGUCCUCUUAUGAUCUCACAGGACCAGGAAGGAUGCUGAGUAGCAAGGUUUAAAUAUCGAUGAAGGUGGAGCAGCAAAGCAGAGGAGGAUUCAAAUCUACCCACUUUGGCUCCAAAGCCUAUGUUCCUAAUCCCUGGGUGGUUCCAUCUCCAGGGACAGCUACAGCUUUCCUACUUCCAUUAUUCAGAAAACGAGUCACCAACUCCCAGAUGGCAGCACAAACCACCCAACCCAGAAGGGACCUCUCACCAUUCUGAAAUCAUGUCAUCAUUUGGUUCUUACUUUUGCACAGUUAAUAAUCUGUAUUUUUAAUUUAUUCACUUUGUAUUAGGAUUAAAACCUUCACAUAAAAUUUGUAUCUUUGCGUGAAAGUGUGCUCCUCAAUUUUUAUCAUGUUAGCAAAAGACCGUAUCCCAAAUUACAUCUUACUAUACUAUCUCCUCUUACUGAGGGUACAUCUUUUUUUAGCUGUAAAUACCUGCUCUUAUAUUUGUACUUAACCGCAUACAUCUUUCCACCUUUCAGUAUCUCCCUAAUUCUAACUUUGUAUGGCUGCAUCAGGGUCCCUCUGACUGUAAUUCUGUUCAGUUAGAUUAUGUCCAUAUCUGUGUCCUUUACCAAGUCCUGUUAACAGUAUCUUCUGCAUGUGACUAAUUCCUUUUUAAAACUUUCAUAUAAACUGUUUGCUUAGAAUAAUUUAUUGGGAAUAUAAUACUGGGUCAAAGGCAAUAGCAUACUUAAUUGCAUUUCCUAAUUGUUCUUUUCGAGGUGCAGUAGAUUCAAGUUAACUCCAAAGGGAUUCUUCUCAUGUGACUGUUGCUGCCUCCUCCCUCUCGUGUGUGCCUUAUGGACCGGGCAUGGUUAUUAGAACCAUUAACUCCUUUCCCAUCUCUGAAGCAGGGAUGCAAUUACAAUGAGACCACAGCCUCAACUUAACUAGCUUAACAAUACAUUAAGAAGGUUCACUUUCACGCAACCAUCUUAAAAAUAAAGUUGUAUUCUUGUACAGUGCUUUCUCUCCGUUGAGUUUAUGAGCUCCUGGGGGCGGAGGGUGGUCAGGUUUUAGAGAUCUGUGAAUCCACCACUCUUCAGCACUCCAUUAACAUCUAUGGAAGGGUUUAGACUUUUUUCUGGACCGUAGCAAUUUCAUCUAGCUUAGAAAGGAAAAUAUUGAAGUCAAGGCAACUAAUUAUUUAAUGUGAGUCUACGGAGUGUCAGGAAAUGCUCAGGGUGCUUACACCUGCAUUAUCUGUCUUCUAAUUUCCUACAAAUACUGAGGCCAGGCAAACAAUUGUGGAUCCUUCAGCAAGUUCGUAGUACAGCCCAGAUCCAUUACAUGAGCCCACAUCUGAACACAAUGAGAGGACUCCCCUUGUCCUCCUUCCCUCUUAAAUCUCCAGGCUCCCAAGGGAGACAGAACAGCUCAGAGGAUGGUGGGAAUCUCAGGAGCAUCCCUUCAGAAACAGCUGCUCAAAGGAAGCGGCCAGAACACUUGGGCUCCCUGACACUAGAGGGCGCUGUGUGCCCAGGAAGCAGCGGCGCUGGGUGUCCCCUCUGGGGUUCUUCCAUCCAGUCUGGCUCUGGUCUUUAGAGCAGAAGGUCUUUCAGGAUUCACUGAAAUAGAUCUUGGCAUAAUUUUAAAAAGGCAACAAAGCCAGCCCACAUCCUUUUCUACUCAAAGAUUGCAUAGCUCGGUGGAAUCCACAUCAUUCUAAACCAUACGGCUCAGCUGCCCCCCGAGGAAGGUUUACCCUGAAGUCCACUUCUGUUUAUAUGGUCGUAUUUCACAAGGUCAAAGACUAGACAUCUGGAGACAGUCUGCUGCAGGCCAGUGCAGCUCCUGGCCCCUGCUUCCGGCCCCUCUGAUGGACUUAGAUGACUCUGGUGACCAGCUUAAUCAUUGUCAUCAUGGGACUGAAAAUUAGUCAUAGAAUAACAACAUAAGGAAAGCAAAGAGAUCCAACCAGUCCAUCCUAAAGGAAAUCAGUCCUGAAUAUUCACUGGAAGGAAUGAUGUUGAAGCUGAAACUCCAAUGCUUUGGCCAUCUGAUGUGAACUGACUCACUGGGAAAGAUUGAAGGCAGGAGGAGAAGGGGAGGACAGAGGAUGAGAUGGUUGGAUGGCAUCACCGAGUCAAUGGACAUGAGUUUGAGUAAACUCUGGGAGUUGGCGAUGGACAGGAAAGCCUGGCGUGCUGCAGUCCGUGGGGUCUCAGAGUUGGACACGCCUGAGCGACUGAACAACAUAAACAAAAGCUAACGUUUAUCUUCCCAACAACCAUAGUGGUGCUCUCAUCCAAAGGAAAUCAAGAGAGCGGGUGGAGACGGAAGAGAGGAAUCCAAAGGAUAUUCACCUAUCAUACCUCAGACAUGGAGCACACUGAAAGAGGACUUUUCGGCCAGAUACCAAGGAAACACACCUGGGAAAGCCAAGGGGAGAUGGGCAGAUGGAUGAACAAAAGUCGCUCACCGUCACCUUGAGAAAGGCACCCCCGGCAUAUAGUGGGAGGACCAUUCCAUCCGCAGCAAAGGUGGAGGGAACCGAUGAGCCCGCGUUUAUCCAUCCUCUACCACUUUCACACACUUGCUAAACAUUUACUCUGGUGUUUCUGAGGGUAAAAUAUAAACAGGGCACAGGCAACCCAUGAGUUCAGAAUAGUUGUGUUUUGGGUCCCCAAAACCACCUUCAGUCACAGUAUUUCACUAGAGGGAUUCAGCAAAGCCAUUAGACGCUCAUAUCAGGUAAGACAUUCCAAGGGGUUAGAGGUGACCUCCCAGGAAUCAGGCAAGGCUCUGACUUCAGAAAGUGCAGGAUGUGGACCCCUGCUGAGUAAUCCUUUACUGCAUCCUAAAACCAUCCGGGCUUCCCUGGGUCUAUAGCUUGCAGAUGUCAGGUUGUGAGACAUCUCAGCCUUCAAAAUCAUGUGAGCCAAUACCUUAAAAUAAAUCCCUUUCUUUCCACCAAUACCUAUUUGUUUAAAUCAUUCAAGUUCAGGUGUCUGUUACUGCACCUUUUUUUCCAAGGCCAUUGAGUGGAUCUGGGUGCUGGGUUUCCUCCCAGACUUCUGGAACCAGUUAAUGAGUCUGGUUAAGAAAAAACAAAAACAAAUACCUUGUUUUCUGGUAAAGGAGAGAGGGACUUACU
ensembl:lncRNA